AUUGAACGCUGGCGGCAGGCCUAACACAUGCAAGUCGAGCGGAUGAAGGGAGCUUGCUCCUGGAUUCAGCGGCGGACGGGUGAGUAAUGCCUAGGAAUCUGCCUGGUCGUGGGGGAUAACGUCCGGAAACGGGCGCUAAUCCCGCAUACGUCCUGAGGGAGAAAUUGGGGGAUCUUCGGACCUCACGCUAUCAGAUGAGCCUAGGUCGGAUUAGCUAGUUGGUGGGGUAAAGGCCUACCAAGGCGACGAUCCGUAACUGGUCUGAGAGGAUGAUCAGUCACAAUGGAAGUGAGAAACGGUACAGACUCCUACGGGAGGAAGCAGUGGGGAAUAUUGGACGAUGGGGGAAAGCCUGAUCCAGCCAUGCCGCGGGUGGGAAGAAGGUCUUCGGAUUGUAAAGCACUUUAAGUUGGGAGGAAGGGCAGUAAGUUAAUACCUGGCUGUUUUGACGUUACCAACAGAAUAAGCACCGGCUAACUUCGUG
rnacentral:rRNA from 1 species